GGAAGGAUCAUUAUCGAAAUAAAUAAAUGGAGGGAAGAUGGAAAUAGUCUAUGGAUUGUCGCUGGCUCUUUUGCAUGUGCACGUCUUUGCUACCUCCAUUGACCUUUCUUCAAUACACACCUGUGCACCUAUUGUAGGUCCUCACAAGAGGAUCUAUGUCUUUUACAUCAUAACACUAUCGUAUGUCUGUAGAAUGUUAUCAAAGACCUUUGGAUCAGGCUUGCGCUUGGUUUGGCUGGUCGAUGAAAAAAUCAUAUACAACUUUCAGCAAUGGAUCUCUUGGCUCUUGCAUCGAUGAAGAACGCAGCGAAUUGCGAUAAGUAAUGUGAAUUGCAGAUUUCCAGUGAAUCAUCGAAUCUUUGAACGCACCUUGCGCUCCUUGGUAUUCCGAGGAGCAUGCCUGUUUGAGUGUCAUUUAAUUCUCAACCAUCUCUUGAUUGAUUUGGCUUGGAGUUGGGGGUUUGCUGGCAGCGAUGUCGGCUCUCCUGAAAUGCAUUAGCAGUUAUCAUGCUAGUAGUCUAUUGGCGUACACGGCCUUUUGACGUGAUAAUGAUCGUCGUGGGCUGGAGCGUCUUUAACUAGUAGAUUGCUUCCAAUUCACAUCUCACU
rnacentral:rRNA from 1 species